CCCUUAGAUGUCCGGGGCCGCACGCGCGCUACAAUGGAUGAAUCAACGCGUCAUCCUGGCCCGAAAGGGUUGGGGAACCGCUGAACCUCAUCCGUGGUUGGGAUUGGGGUUUAUAAUUAUUCCCCAUGAACUAGGAAUUCCCAGUAAGCGCGAGUCAUAAGCUCGCGUUGAUUACGUCCCUGCCCUUUGUACACACCGCCCGUCGCUACUACCGAUUGGAUGGUUUAGUGAGAUCCUCGGAUUGGUCACGGCACGGUGGCAACACUGCGUCGGUGUGCCGAGAAGACGAUCAAACUUGAUCAUCUAGAGGAAGUAAAAGUCGUAACA
rnacentral:rRNA from 1 species